UACAAUAAUCACAUCAUCACUAAUGUACCGAAUUCAUUCAAAAGAAUUUUGUAGUUAAGCGUGCUUGGAAUGAGAAGUAGUACUAAGUUGGGUGGUCAUUUGAAAAUCUUCGUGUUGCAC
rnacentral:rRNA from 1 species